GCACAGCAACAGGUGGAGCGUGCGGUUUAAUUGGAUUCAACGCCGGAAAACUCACCGGAGGCGACGGUUACAUGAAGGCCAGGCUGAUGACCUUGCUAGAUUUUCCGAGAGGUGGUGCAUGGCCGCCGUCAGUUCGUACCGUAAGGCGUUCUGUUAAGUCAGACAACGAACGAGACCCUCAUCUUUAAUUGCAACUGGUAAGUCCGCUUACUGGGCACAUUAGAGAAACCGCUGGCGAUAAGUCAGAGGAAGGCGAGGGCAACGGUAGGUCAGUAUGCCCUGAAUCCUCCGGGCUACACGCGCGCUACAAAGGCCAGGACAAUGGGCUUCGACACCGAGAGGUGAAGACAAUCUCGAAACCUGGUCGUAGUUCGGAUUGAGGGUUGAAACUCACCCUCAUGAAGCUGGAAUCUGUAGUAAUCGCGGAUCAACAUCCCGCGGUGAAUAUGCCCCUGCUCCUUGCACACACCGCCCGUCAAACCAUGCGAGUUGGGUUUGAGUGAGGAUGUAGUUCUUGCUGCAUUCAAACUUAGGCUUAGUAAGCGGGGUU
rnacentral:rRNA from 1 species